rnacentral:rRNA from 1 species
UGACCCCAGGUCAGAAGGGAUCACUCGUUGAGUUUAAACAUAUCAAUAAGCGAAGAAAAAGAAACUUACCAAGAUUCCCCUAGUAAAGGCAAGCGAAUCAGGAAGAGCCCAGCUUGAAAAUCAGGUACCUCCGACAUCCGAAUUGUAGUCUGGAGAAGCGUCCUCAGCAACGGACUGGGCCCAAGUCCCCUAAAAAGGGGCAUCGGAGAGGGUGAGAGCCCCAUUGUGCCCGAACUCUAUCGCACCAUGAGGCGCUGUCCGCGAGUCGGGUUGUUUGGGAAUGCAGCCCUAAUCGAGCGGUAAAUUCUGUCCAAAGCUGAAUAUGGGCAAGAGACCGAUAGUGAACAAGUACUACGAGGGAAAGUUGAAAAGGACUUUGAAAAGAGAGUCAAAGAGUGCUUGAAAUUAUCAGGAGGGAAGCUGAUGGGGGCCGACGAUGCACCCCGAUCAGAUGUGGAACGACGAGAGCCGGUCCAUCGAUCGGCUCAGGGCAUGGAUCGAUGCGGGUCGUGGCGACGACCCAAGCCCGGGCUUUCGAUGUGCCCAUAGAGAUGUCAUCGCCGUGAUCGUGGAAUGUAGCACGUGCCAUCUCGGCAUGCCCCUGCAUCGGCAUGCUCCAGGCAUCGACCUACGGGCUCCCCAUCCGACCCGUCUUGAAACACGGACCAAAGAGUCUGACAUGCAUGCGAGUCAAUAGGCCAGGAAACCUGUAAGGCAUAAGAAAGCUAAUUGGUGGGAUCCCUCACUGGUGCACUACCAAUCGACCUUAAUCUUCUGAGAAAGGUUCGAGUGCGAGCAUGCCCAUCGGGACCCGAAAGAUGGUGAACUAUGCCUGAGCGGGGCAAAGCCAGAGGAAACUCUGGUGGAGCCCCGUAGCGAUACUGAUGUGCAAAUCAUUCAUCUGACUUAGGUAUAGGGGUGAAAGACUAAUCGAACCAUCUAGUAACCGAUUCCUUCCGAAGUUUCCCUCAAGAUAGCUGGAGCCGCCGUCAAGUUUUAUCGGGUAUAGCCAAUGAUUAAAGGCAUCAGGGGCACAACGCCCUCGACCUAUUCUCAAACUUUAAAUAGGUAGGAUGGCACGACUACUUUGUUGAGCCGUGCCACGAAAUCGAGAGCUCCAACUGGGCCAUUUUUGAUAAGCAGAACUGGCGAUGCGGGAUGAACCAGAAGUUGGGUUACAGUGCCCAACUGUGUGCUAACCCAAAACCCAUAAAGGGUGUUGGUCGAUUAAGACAGUAGGACGGUGGUCAUGGAAGUCGAAAAUCCGCUAAGGAGUGUGUAACAACUCACCUGCCGAAUCAACUAGCCCCAAAAAUGGAUGGCGCUUAAGCCGCGUGACCUAUACCCAGUCGUUGAGGUAAGGGCCAGGCCUCGAUGAGUAGGAAGGUGUGGCAGUCAUGUAAAACCCAAGGCACGAGCCCGGGCGAAGCGGCUGUCGGUGUAGAUCUUGGUGGUAGUAGCAAAUAUUCAAAUGAGAACUUUGAACGUCGAAGAGUGGAAAGGUUCAAUGUGAACGGUACUUGCACAUGGGUUAGUUGAUCCUAAGAGACGGGGGAAGCCCAUCCGAUAGUGCAUCCCGUGUGAGCUUCAAAAGGGAAUCGGGUUAGAAUUCUUGAAUCGAGAUGCAACGGUUGACGGCAACGUUAGGUAGUCCAGAGAUGUCGAAGGAAGCCUCGAAAAGAGUUAUCUUUUCUGUUUAACGACCCACCCACCCUGGAAACGGCAUAGUCGGAGGUAGGGUCCAGUGGCCGAAAGAGCACCGCACAUCGCGUGGUGUCUGGUGCACCUCCGACAGCCCUUGAAAAUCUAGAGGACCGAGUGUCGUCCGCGCCCAGUCGUACUCAUAACCACAUCAGGUCUCCAAUGUGAACAGCCUCUGGUCGAUGGAACAAUGUGGGUAAAGGAAGUCGACAAAAUGUAUCUAUAACCUUAGGAAAAGGAUUGGCUCUGAGGCCUGGGUACGGAGGUCCCAAUCUCGAACCCCUCGAUUGCUGGUGCACUACUCGAGCUAUUCUCGCGAUGAGAACGGGUUGUCACGUGCCGAUCAGGGGACAGACUGGGAAUGGCUCCCUCGAGGGCUUUCCUCGGGUGAUGAAUAGUUGACUCAAAACUGGUAUAGAUAAAGGGAAUCUGACUAUUUAAUUAAAACAAAGCAUUGCGAUGGUCUCUGUGGAUGCUCACACAAUGUGAUUUCUGCCUAGUGCUCUGAAUGUCAAAGUGAAAAAAUUCAACCAAGCAGGGUAAACGGCAAGAGUAACUAUGACUCUCUUAAGGUAGCCAAAUGCCUCUCAUCUAAUUAGUGACACGUAUGAAUGGAUUAAUGAGAUUCCCACUAUCCUUGUCUACAAUCCAGCGAAACCACAGCCAAGGGAACGGGCUUGGCAGAAUUAGUGGGGAAAGAAGACCCUAUUGAGCUUGACUCUAGUCUGACUUUGUGAAAUGACUUGAGAGGUGUAGGAUAAGUGGGAGCCCUCGGGUGAAAUUGAAAUACCACUACUUUUAACGUUAUUUUACUUAUUUCAUGAAUCGGAGGUGGGGCACGACCCCUUUUUUGGACCCAAGGCCAACCUCGAUCAGUCGAUCAGGGAGGAAGACAUUGUUAGGUGGAGAGUUUGGCUGGGGCGGCACAUCUGUUAAAAGAUAAUGCAGGUGUCCUAAAAUGAGCUCAAUGAGAACAGAAAUCUCAUGUGGAAUAAAAGGGUAAAAGCUCGUUUGAUUCUGAUUUCUAGUACGAAUACGAACUGUGAAAACAUGGCCUAUCGAUCCUUUAGACCUUCAAGAUUUGAAGCUAGAGGUGUCAAAAAAGUUACCACAGGGAUAACUGGCUUGUGGCAGCCAAACGUUCAUACCGACGUUGCUUUUUGAUCCUUUGAUGUCAGCUCUUCCUAUCAUUGUGAAGUAGAAUUCACCAAGCGUGCGGGUGCUGAGCCGGCCAGUGAGGCAUAAUGCGUAAGCCGGGGA